CGCGCGGAGGCUGCGGCGUGCCUACACCUGAGUAACUGCUAUUUUUUUUUUUUUUAACCAAGGCGGAAGUUCCAGGUUUCACUUUUGGCUUUUUCCUUUGAAACUUUGCCUCUAAGGCCAGCAUCCCAAAAUCGUCAUUUCUCUUUUGCAAACGACACUGGUAUUUGGCAUGUAUUUAAAGAAGAAUUUACCUGAGGACUUCUAAGACAUUUAUUGACUGGUACAGGGAGGAGAAAAGUCAUCAUUCCUGUGAAAUCUUACUGACCUAGGAUACCUGUUUGGAAAAAAAACACUGGUAUAUAAUUAAAUACCAAUUAAAAAAUUUUACAGGAUGGGACAACAACACAACACAAAAAAAGCUGAUAGCUUAUUUGUGAGAUUCAGGGCAAACCCACUGAUUUCCAGGAGACUCCCAGAAACUCUGUGAUGCAUGGGUGAAAGUAUGUAUGUGUGUGAGUGCCUGAUAUGAUGAACUGGCAUUCAGUUCAUAUUUAGAUCCUGUCUUCCUUUAAUGCUGCAGAGAUGGCCCCUGUGACUCUGAACUGGAUUAAGGGAAUCCAAGUAAGCGAUUUUUUGUUAUGAUUCUUUGGAAUAUGGAAGAACUGUAGGGAACUGGUGGAAAAAAACAAAACAAAACACAAAGGCAUGGGAUAAUUGAGGUGGAAUUCCAAGCCACUCCUCAAACAGCUGUGAGGCAGCUGCACUAACCACUGUGCCACUAUGCUGUUUUAAAAUCUUUUACUUAAAACAUAAUACUUCAUCAUUUGGUUUUGUUUCAUUUUUUUUUUGUUUUGUACAGUUUCCCUAGUAGUUUGAAGUAAUUUCCAAAGAAGCAUUGGCUUCAUUUUCAUUUCCUUUUUAAUACCACUCACUAGGGCUUUUCAAAUUUUAAACUACUAAGUGGUCAGUUAGUUCCUCUAUAUGUGUUUAUUAUACAGUUCUGAGCAAUUUACUUAAGUUUGUUACUGUUCAAGUUUGAAAAAAAGUGUGUAAACAACUGCAUAACAACAAUAAUAUUAAUAAUUUUAUUUAUAUGGAAUAUUUCACACAAUUUAGCAGUUCAAAGUGAUUAUUACAAGAAAACGGAGUGACAAUAAUAAGAAGAAACAAGAAAAUGCACAAAAAACAUAUAUUGUCAAAAAACAAGAAUAACAACAAUUAUUUUUAGCUGCUGUUCAAAAAUAUAUUAUCAAAGUAAAUAAUAAUGGUGUUCAAUAUAAAAAGGCACUUUAUAUAAUUUGAAGGAUUUUACCUAGGGUGUCAUGGAGCAAAUACAAUGAUUAACACUGCUGUCCUCACUGCUCCAAGAGUUUUGCUUGAAUACCUGUAUGGUCACUAUCUCAUUUAAAUUUACAUUCUCUCAUGGCGCUUGUGUGGGUUGUAUGUGGUUACUUCAUUUUCUUCGCAUAUCUUAAAGAUGUUGAGGUUGGAAAAUGGUAAUGAUAAUUCACUUAUUUGCCAAAAAUAUUUGCAUUAGGAAUUUGUCAUUUUUUUACAUUGAUAAAUAUAAUUUACCCUGGUGUGAGUGACUUUGGGAUUGUGGGUGAGUACAGUACACCAUAAAAUUGACAAUCACUUUGUCCAGGGUUGAUUCCUGUCUUGCACACCAACUCUGUAAUCAUGAAUUCUAAUCAGCAGGUUAUGAAAGUGGAUAGAUGUCUGUGCAAUUCAAGGACAUUAGGAAGAAUGACACACAUCUGAGAAAAUCCUGUACAUUUAAUUGGUUGUGAUGAGAAUAGUGGCACGGUGGUGCAGUGGGUAGCGCUCCUGCCUCG